GUGGGGAAUAUUGGGCAAUGGGCGCAAGCCUGACCCAGCAACGCCGCGUGAAGGAAGAAGGCUUUCGGGUUGUAAACUUCUUUUACCAGGGACGAAACAAAUGACGGUACCUGGUGAAUAAGCCACGGCUAACUACGUGCCAGCAGCCGCGGUAAUACGUAGGUGGCGAGCGUUAUCCGGAUUUAUAGGGUGUAAAGGGCGUGUAGGCGGGACAGCAAGUCAGAUGUGAAAACCAGAGGCUCAAUCUCUGGCCUGCAUUUGAAACUGUUGUUCUUGAGUGUCGGAGAAGUAAUCGGAAUUCCGUGUGUAGCGGUGAAAUGCGUAGAUAUACGGAGGAACACCAGUGGCGAAGGCGGAUUACUGGACGAUAACUGACGCUGAGGCGCGAAAGCGUGGGGAGCAAACAGGAUUAGAUACCCGUGUAGUCC
rnacentral:rRNA from 1 species